rnacentral:lncRNA from 1 species
AAAGUGGUGUUUCUCCCUCCAAACACCACCUCUGUGAUCCAGUCACUGGAUCAAGGAGUUAUAGCAGCUUUUAAGGCCUACAGCCUGAGCAGCAUGUUUGUCCAGGCUGCUGCUGCAACUGAGAAAGACACUGAUGCACUUCUGGAAGGAUGACAACAUGUGACUGCAUCAAGAACCUUGCUUGGACUCAGGAUGAUGUCACCAAGGAGUGUAUGAGUAGCAUCUGGAAGAAGGCACUCAAGAGGUUUGUCCUUGACUUAGAAGGAUUUGCUAAGGAUGAGGAGGCUGUGGUUGAGAGGGCAAACAAUUUACCCUGGGUGUGGAUGCGGAUGACACUAAGGAGCUCCUAGAGGUGGUUCCUGAGGAAUUGACUAAUGAGUUGUUGGAACUGGAACAAGAAUGCAUAGCUAAGGAAGAGGGAAGAGAAAAGGAAACUACAGGAGAAGGAAAAGAAGAACCCCCAAGAAAAUGCACAGGGAAGGGUUUAGCAGAAGUUUCACAAACCUCAACAAGUUCCUGGAAAAGUCUGAAAACAUGGACCCCAACACUGAAAGGUUUUCAUUAAUAGAGAGGCAUGUUCAUGGUGCAUCAUCAGCCACAAGCAAAUCUAUGAUGAAUCAAACAAACAAACCGAGCCAACCACCAUGGACAUAUUUCUGAAAAGAGUGGCACCUUCUCAAGAUUGGCCUCAGGCGCGUCCUUCAGGAGGCAUCCCAGAAGAAGGCUGUGUUAGCAUCGGAGAUGACAGCUCCAUGCGUGUCAGUGCCCCUGAAGACCUGCCAGUGGGACAAGAUGUGCAGGAGCCGGUGACCUUCGAGGACGUGGCUGUGGCCUUCACGGAGGAGGAGCUGGGGCUGCUGGAUGCCUCCCAGAGGCAGCUGUACCGGGAUGUGAUGCUGGA